rnacentral:rRNA from 1 species
CCACAAGGGGUGAAGCCUGCGGUUCAAUUGGAGUCAACGCCAGGAAACUUACCAGGAGAGACAGCAGGUUGAGGGUCAGUCUGAAGAACUUACCUGACGAGCUGAGAGGAGGUGCAUGGCCGUCGCCAGCUCGUGCCGUGAGGCGUCCUGUUAAGUCAGGCAACGAGCGAGACCCCUAUCGGUAAUUGCUAACUGCUCAGAGAUGGAUAGAGGCUAGUUACAGAGACUGCCGCUGCUAAAGCGGAGGAAGGAAGGGGCCACGGCAGGUCAGUAUGCCCCGGAACUCCUGGGCCACACGCGGGCUGCAAUGGUAGGGACAAUAGGUUCCGACCUCGAAAGAGGAAGGCAAUCCCGAAACCCUACCCCAGUUGUGAUCGAGGAUUGAAACCCGUCCUCGUGAAUAUGGAAUCCCUAGUAACCGCGUGUCAUCACCGCGCGGUGAAUACGUCCCUGCUCCUUGU